rnacentral:rRNA from 1 species
UGCCCCUACGGGGGGCAGCAGUGAGGAAUAUUGGUCAAUGGGCGGAAGCCUGAACCAGCCAAGUCGCGUGAGGGAAGAAGGCCCUGCGGGUCGCAGACCUCUUUGGACGGGGAGCAAGGCCGCCGACGUGUCGGCGGAAGGAGAGUACCCGGAGAAAAAGCAUCGGCUAACUCCGUGCCAGCAGCCGCGGUAAUACGGAGGAUGCGAGCGUUAUCCGGAUUUAUUGGGUUUAAAGGGUGCGUAGGCGGGAUGCCAAGUCAGCGGUAAAAAUGCGGUGCUCAACGCCGUCGAGCCGUUGAAACUGG